UGCGAUGAUGAUGAGAUCAAAUAAUCUCGUUAAUCUGAUCUUUUUCGUGUGGAAAAACUUUCUCUUCCAUUCUACUAUUCUCUGAGC